UGGAAGCCACCGCUCGUGGGACAUGCAAAGCUUAAUGUUGAUGCAGCAGUGGCAAAAAAUACAAACAAAGGAGCUGUGGGAGUUGUGUGUAGGGAUGAACAUGGAAAUUACCUGGGGGCUUCUGUGGUUGUUUUGGAAGGUUUGACAGAGCCUGAAACUUUGGAAGCGUUUGCGUGUCGAGAAGCUCAAGCUCUAGGUGAGGAUUGGCACCUCGCAAGAUCCAUAUCUCUACCGACUGUCUGA
rnacentral:rRNA from 1 species